AUGGCCCACCAAGGCAUUGAUGGGUAGUUGGUCUGAGAGGACGACCAGCCACAUUGGGACUGAGAUACGGCCCAGACUCCUACGGGAGGCAGCAGUGGGGAAUCUUGGACAAUGGGGGAAACCCUGAUCCAGCGACACCGCGUGGGGGAUGAAGGCUUUCGGGUUGUAAACCCCUUUUCUGGGGGAAGAAUAAGGUUGGGAGGAAAUGCCCAUCCGAUGACGGUACUCCAGGAAUAAGCAUCGGCAAACUUCGUGCCAGCAGCCGCGGUAAGACGAAGGAUGCGAGCGUUAUCCGGAAUUACUGGGCGUAAAGGGCGUCUAGGCGGUUGGGUAAGUCACUUGUGAAAGCCCUCGGCUUAACCGAGGAAAGUCUCGUGAUACUGCCCAGCUUGGGUGUAGGAGAGGGGAGUGGAACUCACAGAGUAGCGGUGGAAUGCGUAGAUACUGUGAGGUACCCCGAUGGCGAAGGCAACUCCCUGGCCUACUACCGACGCUGAAGCGCGAAAGCGUGGGGAGCAAAGGGGAUUAGAUACCCCCGUAGUCCACGCCCCAAACGAUGUUCACUUGGUGUCGGCCGCAAAUAUAGGUCGGUGCCGGAGCUAACGCGUUAAGUGAACCGCCUGAGGAGUACGGCCGCAAGGCUAAAACUCAAGAGAAUUGACGGGUCCCCGCACAAGCGGUGGAGCACGUGGUUUAAUUCGAUUUAAGCGAAGAACCUCACCCAGGCUUGACAUACUAGUGGUAGGAACCUGAAAGGGGGACGACCCUGCCUUCGGGUAGGGAGCUAGUACAGGUGAUGCAUGGCUGUCGUCAGCUCGUGUCGUGGGAUGUAGGGUUAAGUCCCGAAACGAGCGCAACCCUUGUCGUUAGUUGCCAGCGGGUAAUGCCGGGGACUCUAGCGAGACUGCUGGUGAAUAGCCGGAGGAAGGCGGGGAUGACGUCAAGUCAUCAUGUCCCUUAUGCCUGGGGCGACACACAUGCUACAAUGGGGGGUACAGAGGGUCGCAAUACCGUAAGGUGGAGCCAAUCUCAAAAAACCCUCCUCAGUUCGGAUUGAGGUCUGCAACUCGACCUCAUGAAGCCGGAAUCGCUAGUAAUCGUAGGUCAGCCAUACUACGGUGAAUAUGUACUCGGGGAUUGUACACACCGCCCGUCACACCAACCGAGUGGGGGGUACCUGAAGUCGUCUCCAUGAGGCGCCGAGGGUAACCUUCGCAAGAGG
rnacentral:rRNA from 1 species